AGUGAACGCUGGCGGUAGGCCUAACACAUGCAAGUCGAACGGCAGCACAGUAAGAGCUUGCUCUUACGGGUGGCGAGUGGCGGACGGGUGAGGAAUACAUCGGAAUCUACUUUUUCGUGGGGGAUAACGUAGGGAAACUUACGCUAAUACCGCAUACGACCUACGGGUGAAAGCAGGGGAUCUUCGGACCUUGCGCGAUUGAAUGAGCCGAUGUCGGAUUAGCUAGUUGGCGGGGUAAAGGCCCACCAAGGCGACGAUCCGUAGCUGGUCUGAGAGGAUGAUCAGCCACACUGGAAUUGAGACACGGUCCAGACUCCUACGGGAGGCAGCAGUGGGGAAUAUUGGACCAUGGGCGCAAGCCUGAUCCAGCCAUACCGCGUGGGUGAAGAAGGCCUUCGGGUUGUAAAGCCCUUUUGUUGGGAAAGAAAAGCAGCAGGUUAAUACCCCGCUGUUCUGACGGUACCCAAAGAAUAAGCACCGGCUAACUUCGCG
rnacentral:rRNA from 1 species